rnacentral:snRNA from 1 species
GUGCUCGCGUCGGCAGCACAAAAUCAGAAUGAUACAGAGAAGAUGAGCAUGGCCCCUGCGCAAGGAUGACAUGCAAAUUCGUGAAGGCUUCCAUGUUUUU